UAUCGCGUAUCAAGUGUGAUUUGCAAAUUUUUGAUUUUUUCGUUUGGAUACUGAUUUCGCUCAAGAAAAGCUAUAUUCCGCUCAAGAAAAGGUAUAAAUGGUAUUGGAUAAGUGACUCUAAGUCUUGCUAAAGGCUUAUUGAUCUCAGGUAUGUAUUAUUACUCUUUAUAUCAUAUAAUUAUAACGUCCAUCGACCCUUUUAUUUCAUUUUAUCUUGUGGCUGUACUAGCCUGACUGAACAUGUGGCUGCUAAAAUUUGAAUUUGCGCGCGCGAGAUUUUAUAUAUUGAAAUUGUUUCAUUUCAAUGCUGCCAAAUAUUAGUUAAAACCAACAAUUCAAAUUUUGAAUAAGCACAUUAUAUAGUGU
rnacentral:lncRNA from 1 species